rnacentral:rRNA from 1 species
AUUGAACGCUGGCGGCAGGCCUAACACAUGCAAGUCGAGCGGAUGAAGGGAGCUUGCUCCUGGAUUCAGCGGCGGACGGGUGAGUAAUGCCUAGGAAUCUGCCUGGUAGUGGGGGAUAACGUCCGGAAACGGGCGCUAAUACCGCAUACGUCCUGAGGGUGAAAGUGGGGGAUCUUCGGACCUCACGCUAUCAGAUGAGCCUAGGUCGGAUUAGCUAGUUGGUGGGGUAAAGGCCUACCAAGGCGACGAUCCGUAACUGGUCUGAGAGGAUGAUCAGUCACACUGGAACUGAGACACGGUCCAGACUCCUACGGGAGGCAGCAGGGGGGAAUAUUUGACAAUGGGCGAAAGCCUGAUCCAGCCAUGCCGCGUGUGUGAAGAAGGUCUUCGGAUUGUAAAGCACUUUAAGUUGGGAGGAAGGGCAGUAAGUUAAUACCUUGCUGUUUUGACGUUACCAACAGAAUAAGCACCGGCUAACUUCGUG